GACGAACGCUGGCGGCGUGCUUAACACAUGCAAGUCGAGCGGUAAGGCCCUUUCGGGGGUACACGAGCGGCGAGCGGGUGAGUAACACGUGGGUGACCUGCCCUCAGCUCUGGGAUAAGCCUGGGAAACCGGGUCUAAUACCGGAUAUGACUCCAUGACGCAUGUUGUGGGGUGGAAAGCCUUGUGCGGCUGAGGAUGGGCCCGCGGCCUAUCAGCUUGUUGGUGGGGNGAUGGCCUACCAAGGCGACGACGGGUAGCCGGCCUGAGAGGGCGACCGGCCACACUGGGACUGAGACACGGCCCAGACUCCUACGGGAGGCAGCAGUGGGGAAUCUUGCGCAAUGGGCGAAAGCCUGACGCAGCGACGCCGCGUGAGGGAUGACGGCCUCGG
rnacentral:rRNA from 1 species